GAUCCAUUAUAUCGGUUUGAUUUAAAUUUCGAGUUCCAUUUCUAACCAGAUCUGGUUUCGGCCGUAGGACUAGAUGAGUUAAAUUAACUUAAGGAUAAUUCUGUAUCAACACAUUGAUACACUGCACAUCAGUAAAAAAUCUGAGUCAAGUUGUAGUGCUGAAACCCUCUUUGCUCCUCGAAGUUCACACUCUUGCAGCCAUUCUCGCUCGAAGCUUCCCUUCCGCGCUGAACCACAGAUACCAACCAAAGAGAUUCAAUAAACUGUGUUUUUUUUUCCAAAUACGAACUUCUAAAAUGGAAACACAAGUCGAAGAAGGGAGCAGGGAACCGGAAGUCACUAAAGGUUUGGAAAAGAAGAUCGUGAAAAUUGUGCGCAAGAUACUGAAGAAGGAGAACUUGUACCAGUUGACGGAGAAAAAAGUUCGAGAAAAGGCAUCUAAUGAGCUUGGGAUGAACCUCUCCGAUGAGCCCUUCAAGUCUAUCGUUAGGCGCGCCGUCGAAGAUUUCCUUGAAAAGCUCAGAAAUCGAGCCCAAAAGGCAGUUGACUAAUUGAGGCCAGUGUUUACUGCUUUUAUUACUCUUCAGAUUGAGCUUUGAAAUUUGAUUUCUGUUUUUUUUUUAAUGGUGGAUGAUAGUAGUUUAUGCAUGGAAUGGUUAGGGAAUUGGAGAGAUCAUUAGACCUGAUAUACUCUUUUUGGUUGUGAUUUGUGAACUAGUCGGGAGCUUAUAUCUUUUAAUAUUCUCGCAAUUGGAGUGGAAAUUGGGAUGUGGAAUGCAUUUGCUGUUGGAAUUAAUUUGCUGUCAAUGUAAUAGAAGGAAAACAAAAGAUCCAAGUAUAUUCCGGUGGAUUUGAGGUGUAAUUUUAUUAGAAAGCUUAAACUUGCUUGACUUAGCUUGUUUCAAUACCAGGUGAAGAGCCUGUUUUUUUGUUAGUAGUAAUCUGCUGCAAUCAUCUGCCAUGGUCUGCUUCUUCUUGACUAAAAUUACUCAAAAAGCAAUCCAUUCGAGACUGAGCCAUGAAUCGUCAUAUCCAAUUGGCAGAGGGUGCUCUUGAGCCAAUCUAUAGCCGAUUGAAAUGGCAAUGAUAUUAGAGUAACCAAAAAAGUAAGAAAGGUCUUAGGCACAACGUCAAAUGAUGAUCCAAUGCAGAAACCUCCACCAUGGUACUGGACGAAGAGGGGCAAUUGUUGGUCUGGGUCUUGGAGCUUGGGGAUGAAGAUACGAGCCCUGACACCAGUCUCAAUGGAGACCACAUCUCUGGAUUGUACCUCUGUUUCUGGGUCUAGGAAUAUGGAGCGUGCUCAUGUACCUAUGUAUUCGACCAUCCUUGUAGACUUUGAAGAAGGGUGGAAAAUCAUGGGUUAUUUCACUGGCGCUUGAUGCCAUAGCUGUGUAGAAAAAUGGAGAGGUGAGAUUUUGAGGUUAUGGAGAAGUUUGGGAGCUAUGAUGAGCAAACCUUCUCUUUAUUGUAUUGGAGGGAAAAACUAGUAGGUGGAGCCGAUACCAGGAUCUAUAACGAGGAAUGGAUUUUUAAUGAAAAGAAGGUGUGGUGUCAGUGUAGGUGUAGCACCAAGGCAUCUUAUCUGCAAGUCAGCAAGUGGCAGUUGAUUUUGCAUAAAAUAUUUUUUUAAAUAUAAAUUAUUUUUCGCGAAGAGAGUUUUAAUUUUAUAUAAAUUUGAAUUUAUAUUAAAUAUAUCCUUUAAAAUUACAAAUAUAUUUAAAACAAUAUAUUUAAUUUUAUAUUUUAAUUAAAACUAAUAAUAAAUAAAUUUUUUAUUUUUUGGUGUUGUGAAGGAAAGUAGACCGAGUAUCGAUUUUGUCUGUAUUGACAUCCGCAAUUCAAAAUUGAAUAGAAGAAAUGAAUUCGAAUUAGAUAUCAAAAAGAUGUUCCAUGUGAUUCUAGUCGAUUAUGAUUCAAGACUGUUUAAGAACGGGUUCAGUUUAAUUCCAUGGGACUUCAAUUUUGAUUUAAAGCGAUUCUGAUUUUGGUUUUUAAGUGGUUUAGUUUGAAUCGGAAAUGAAUCCACUCGCUCUCAUUUUUUUCAAUCCAAUUUUAACUGAACGUAUCUCGCUGACUGAACUAUUAAUUUCAAUCUAAGAUCAAAAGGAGGGACCGAAAAUAAAUUUCUAUUCGAAUCAAUAAACAAUUGACUCAAAUUGGUCCGAAUUAAUUAAAAUCGGUCCAAUUCAGAGUCUAGCCAGGUUAAGACGAAAGAGCACUAGUACAGUAUCCCUUCCUUCACAGCAGCUAGUAGUACAGUAAAGAAGACAAAAGGAUCCCCCAAACGUCAGAACGUACGAUUUCCCUAAUUGGUAAUCUGGGAUUGCCACCGUCACACAAUCAGAAAAUCCAAGAUGGAACCCAAAUUGAAAAUACAAAUCGAGCAAACAGUUAGGGAAAUCCUCGAACAAUCCGACAUGGAUUCCACCACGGAGUACCAGAUUCGGAAGAUGGCCUCCAAGAAGCUCGACCUCAAUCUCGAUGUAUCCGAAUACAAGGCCUUUGUACGCCACGUCGUUAAUACUUUUCUGGAAGAGCAGAGAGCCAAAGAAGAAGAAGGAGACAAGAGCAAGGAAAAGGAGUUCGACGAUGAUGGUGACCUUAUCGUUUGCAGGCUAUCGGAUAAGAGAAGGGUGACGAUUCAGAACUUCAGGGGAACAGCCUUGGUAUCAAUAAGGGAGUUCUACAAGAAAGAUGGCAAAGAGCUUCCUUCUUCUAAAGGGAUAAGUCUGAAAGAGGAGCAGUGGUCAGCCUUAAAGAAAAAUAUCCCUGCUAUAGAGAAAGCCAUAAGGAAGAUGGAAGACCGGCUGUAAUGAGAGGUGCAGAUUAUGUAUUGACGAUGCAUGGGUGUUGAAACUUUGGACCUCUCUUGAGAAUGAUACCAUAUUUUGGACCUCUCUUGAGGAUGAUACCGUAUUUUGGACCUUUGAUUUUGCUGCUGGUUGUAAAGUGAUAUACAGUUAAGCAGAUACAUGAUGCUGCUUUCCUGUAAUUGUAAUGCCUCAAGAGGAUUUACAACUGCUGGUAUGUUCUUGGAAGGACAACCUCAAAUUAACGUAAUGUUUGUUUUGUCUGUUUC